GACGAACGUUGGCGGCGUGCUUAACACAUGCAAGUCGAACGGAAAGGCCCUGCUUUUGUGGGGUGCUCGAGUGGCGAACGGGUGAGUAACACGUGAGUAACCUGCCCUUGACUUUGGGAUAACUUCAGGAAACUGGGGCUAAUACCGGAUAGGAGCUCCUGCUGCAUGGUGGGGGUUGGAAAGUUUCGGCGGUUGGGGAUGGACUCGCGGCUUAUCAGCUUGUUGGUGGGGUAGUGGCUUACCAAGGCUUUGACGGGUAGCCGGCCUGAGAGGGUGACCGGCCACAUUGGGACUGAGAUACGGCCCAGACUCCUACGGGAGGCAGCAGUGGGGAAUAUUGCACAAUGGGCGGAAGCCUAAUGCAGCAACGCCGCGUGCGGGAUGACGGCCUUCGGGUUGUAAACCGCUUUCGCCUGUGACGAAGCGUGAGUGACGGUAAUGGGUAAAGAAGCACCGGCUAACUACGUGCCAGCAGCCGCGGUGAUACGUAGGGUGCGAGCGUUGUCCGGAUUUAUUGGGCGUAAAGGGCUCGUAGGUGGUUGAUCGCGUCGGAAGUGUAAUCUUGGGGCUUAACCCUGAGCGUGCUUUCGAUACGGGUUGACUUGAGGAAGGUAGGGGAGAAUGGAAUUCCUGGUGGAGCGGUGGAAUGCGCAGAUAUCAGGAGGAACACCAGUGGCGAAGGCGGUUCUCUGGGCCUUUCCUGACGCUGAGGAGCGAAAGCGUGGGGAGCGAACAGGCUUAGAUACCCUGGUAGUCCACGCUGUAAACGGUGGGUACUAGGUGUGGGGUCCAUUCCACGGGUUCCGUGCCGUAGCUAACGCUUUAAGUACCCCGCCUGGGGAGUACGGCCGCAAGGCUAAAACUCAAAGGAAUUGACGGGGCCCCGCACAAGCGGCGGAGCAUGCGGAUUAAUUCGAUGCAACGCGUAGAACCUUACCUGGGUUUGACAUGGAUCGGGAGUGCUCAGAGAUGGGUGUGCCUCUUUUGGGGUCGGUUCACAGGUGGUGCAUGCCUGUCGUCAGCUCGUGUCGUGAGAUGUUGGGUUAAGUCCCGCAACGAGCGCAACCCUUGUUCACUGUUGCCAGCACGUUAUGGUGGGGACUCAGUGGAGACCGCCGGGGUCAACUCGGAGGAAGGUGGGGAUGACGUCAAGUCAUCAUGCCCCUUAUGUCCAGGGCUUCACGCAUGCUACAAUGGCUGGUACAGAGAGUGGCGAGCCUGUGAGGGUGAGCGAAUCUCGGAAAGCCGGUCUCAGUUCGGAUUGGGGUCUGCAACUCGACCUCAUGAAGUCGGAGUCGCUAGUAAUCGCAGAUCAGCAACGCUGCGGUGAAUACGUUCCCGGGGCU
rnacentral:rRNA from 1 species